CGGGGUGUGGCGCAGCCUGGUAGCGCGCCUGCUUUGGGAGCAGGAGGUCGCCGGUUCGAGUCCGGCCACCCCGACCA
rnacentral:tRNA from 2 species